UACGUAGGGACCGAGCGUUGUCCGGAUUCAUUGGGCGUAAAGAGCGUGUAGGCGGCUUUACAGGUCCGUUGUGAAAACUCGAGGCUCAACCUCGAGACGCCGGUGGAAACCGUAAAGCUAGAGUCCGGAAGAGGAGAGUGGAAUUCCUGGUGUAGCGGUGAAAUGCGCAGAUAUCAGGAGGAACACCGAUGGCGAAGGCAGGUCUCUGGGCCACUACUGACGCUGAGAAGCGAAAGCAUGGGGAGCGAACAGG
rnacentral:rRNA from 1 species